UGCCCCAGACAUAUCACCCUGAACACACCCGAUCUUGUCUGAUCCCAGAAGCUAAGUAAGGUCGGGCCUGCUUAGUACUUGGAUGGCAACUUCAAAAUAUGAAUUGAAGGGGUGA
rnacentral:rRNA from 10 species